rnacentral:rRNA from 1 species
UACGUAGGGUGCGAGCGUUAAUCGGAAUUACUGGGCGUAAAGCGUGCGCAGGCGGUUUUGUAAGCCAGAUGUGAAAUCCCCGGGCUUAACCUGGGAAUGGCAUUUGGGACUGCAAGGCUUGAGUGCGGCAGAGGAGACUGGAAUUCCUGGUGUAGCAGUGAAAUGCGUAGAGAUCGGGAGGAACACCAGAGGCGAAGGCGGCGACCUGGACAGGCACUGACACUCAACUACGAAAGCGUGGGGAGCAAACAGG